UGGCACCUUUUAUUGUCUUGUUGUAGUGCACGACCUGAAGAUUACGAAGAUUCUUGUACGACAUGCGGAGGCAGUUAAUAGCAGACUUUUUGUGCCUAAUCCAUCUCAUGAUUUGAAAUCUAAAGAGAAAAAUGAAGAGGGAAGACGCAAAUUAAGACUGUGAAAAUGAAAGAUUGACAAAAAACUCUGAAUUAAUGGCAAAAGACGACAGAGCCAAUUCGGGUUCGGGGUCGAGACCAAUGUCCUCAUGCGGUCGUCUUUG